GUAAUGAUGAUUUCAACAACAAUGAUCAUUCAUGAAUAUUAUUACAAUCCUCUAAGAAGUACUGAACUG